rnacentral:rRNA from 1 species
GAUGAACGCUGGCGGCGUGCCUAAUACAUGCAAGUCGAGCGAACGGACGAGAAGCUUGCUUCUCUGAUGUUAGCGGCGGACGGGUGAGUAACACGUGGAUAACCUACCUAUAAGACUGGGAUAACUUCGGGAAACCGGAGCUAAUACCGGAUAAUAUUUUGAACCGCAUGGUUCAAAAGUGAAAGACGGUCUUGCUGUCACUUAUAGAUGGAUCCGCGCUGCAUUAGCUAGUUGGUAAGGUGACGGCUUACCAAGGCAACGAUGCAUAGCCGACCUGGGAGGGUGAUCGGCCACACUGGAACUGAGACACGGUCCAGACUCCUACGGGAGGCAGCAGUAGGGAAUCUUCCGCAAUGGGCGAAAGCCUGACGGAGCAACGCCGCGUGAGUGAUGAAGGUCUUCGGAUCGUAAAACUCUGUUAUUAGGGAAGAACAUAUGUGUAAGUAACUGUGCACAUCUUGACGGUACCUAAUCAGAAAGCCACGGCUAACUACGUG